AGACCAAAUUAAUCAGAGCUCUUUUGACUGACAUCACGCACAGUACACACACAGACAGACAGAAGAAAACUCAGUCACUGUGUGGGGCCCUUUAAGAGGCAGGGCUAAGACAGCAGGCAUAUAUCAAACCAGAAAGAAUCUUAUUCCCUAGGGCAGGAUUGCUAAACAAAGCCCUGCGGGGGGAGUUACAAGCCAUGCCCUCAGGAUGUAAUACAAGAUGGAGGCUUGAUUUCACAACCAAAACUUUCCAGAGAAUAUAGUGAUAGAUGUUGGAGGUCCCUAGUCUAGCACAACAUCUUCUAAAAGAAAAUGAAACUUUUAAAAGUUAACUACCGACAGGGUAGAGAGAAAAGAAAAGAAACAGUUUAAAAAUACCUGAGGAAGAGCCUCUCAUUCCUAUGCAACUGAUUCGUCCACCAUGGAGAUUAGUUCAAUUAUUGUCCAAUGGAGUAGAACCCCUUGGCUGGGGUAGGGGAAGGAGAAGACCGCAAGCUGGCUCUGCGAAGACCCUUGAGCCACGCGUCCCAGCCCCAGCAUGAAGCAGCUAUAAAUGAGUCACUCCAGGAGAUAGUAGUCAUACUUAAAGAAGAAAAGGAGCAUGUGAAAGUGUCUUAUCAAAUAGAAAAUACAAAUAAAGUAAUAGUUUAGAAACCAAAAAUGAAUACAUGCUAAGAAACAGUGUUUUGUGCCACACAUGACAAAGGUCACAGACUGUUAAAAAAAAUUGGUAAAAGUCACUGAGCAGACUGCAAUAGCCUUCAACAAUGUUUUUAAAAUAAAUAAAAUCAAAAGCAUACUCUGAAAGGGAGAAAACUCUGAUUUCAGUUACUACAUUAAAAUAUUCAAAUGCCUAGUUUCAACAACCAAAAAAUCAAAAGGCUUAUUAAAAAAACCAAAACAUCUAUCUCUGAAGAAGUCCAGACACUGGAUUUACUAGGCAAAUACUUUAAAAUAACUGUCUUAAAUAUGCUCAGAGAACUAAAAUAAAACUUGGACAAAUAACAAAAGGAAGCAAGAAAAAACAAAACGCGGAUAUCAAUAAAAAGACAGAAAUGAUAAGGUACCAGCCAUAAAUUAUUGAGCUCGAAAGUGCAAUAACUGAAAAGAAAAAUUUACUAGAGGACUUCAACAGCAGAUUUGAGCUGACAGAAGAAUCAGUAAACUUGAAGACAGAAUAAUUUAAGUCACCCAGCCUGAGGAGAAAGGGGCCAAGAGUUCUCACGUCUUCACUCUCCUGCCUGAGUAGAACCACUUUAUUACUGAGCUGGAGCUGAAUAGUAUGGACAAGGUGGCCUUCUUCUAGAGUUAUUCUUCUGAUCUUUGUGGAAGACUUAGGAAUGGAGUCUCAGCCACAGACUUCUUCAUUAGACAUUUUAGCGUGAUAUCGUCACUGUACAAAGUGAGAGCUGAGAAGAUGGUGAGAUGAUGGGAAUCCAUGGUUUUUCAGCCUGUUAACUCGUGACCUACCGGCCUUAUUCAGGGAAGAGUCUUUUCCCUAGGAGUGGGAGGUGGGUAGAUUAUAGGAGUUCUCGGUCCUUCCUGGCAAUGCCCGCUAAUAUUAAAUAUUUCACAACAUAAAGCUAGAAGGAUCAGUUUGAGGGCGAAAGUCAUUUUUGGUUUAAAUGCCACAUAUUCUAACCACACUAAAAGUUUAUAGAUUUUAUUAAAUUAAUGAUACUUUGAUUUGCUGCAUACUUUUAGGUCAAUUUCUUUAGAUGGCUGUUUUUAAUAAUUUUCACCAGUUUAGUGUCUGUUUCACUGUAGAGAUGGUUCACGGAAAGUUACUCGAUGCCAUUCCCAGAGUCUCACUCCCUCCAAAUGUAUUUUGUAUGCUUACAUGGUACAUAUUUUCAUAUUUUACUUUCAAAAUACCUGUAUCUUUAUACUUCAAGCAUGUUUUUGUACACAUUGAUUUGCAUAUAUCAUCUUUUUCAUUGAUUUUUAUCAAUAGCUAUUAUAUAUUUUAUUUUACUUUUCUGGAGUUUGCAAGAAGCUUUGCUAAUUAAUUACAAUUUUCAUUCAAAUAAUAUUUUAACACUUCAAAUAUGGUGUAAGAAUAUUACAAAACCCCAUUACUUUCAUAUCUCCCUGGUUUUUAGGCAAUUAUUAUCAUAACCUUCACUCCUGCAUUAGCUAUAAACCUCAUACUACAUUCUAAUAAUUUUAACAGUCAUUUUACUUGUGGAUUAAAUUAUAAAUUUAAAAAUGUACUUUUACAUUUAACCAUAUAUUUAUAAUUUCAGUGCUCUUCAAUUAAUUAUUUAUGUAUGUAUUUUCAUCUAGUAUCUUUUUUUCAUAUUGAAGACUUUUCUUCAAUGUUUUUCUUAGUGCAGGUCUCCUAGCAAUAAAAAAAUUCUUAUCUACUUUUUCUUGUAUUUUUGUCUAAAUUGUUUUCAUCUUGACUUAUAUUUUAAUAAAUUUUUUGCUGUAUAUACAAUUAGAAGUUGAGUGUUAAGUUUUUACUUUCAGAAAUUUAAAAAUGUCAUUCUAGUGUAAUUUGUUUUUCAUGAUUUUUUUUCUUGUAUGUAAUACGCUGCCACACAAACACUUACUGAGGUUGUUUUUUUUUUAAUUCUCCAAUUUUCAGAAAUUUAAUUAACAUGAUAUAGUUACUUCUUUAUUUUAUUUUUUCCUUUCCCCUUUCUUCCUUCCUUCUUUUGUUAAAUUUAUUCUUACUUAAAUCUUAUUUGAGAUGCUUAUGAGUUCUCAAUCUGAAACAGUUGAAAAGGUCAAUAAGUCUAUGCAUUUUUUUCCACUAUUUUUUAGUCUGUGCUUCAGUUUGAAUAUUUAUUAUCUUGUUUUAUGUAUCAUUUGUUUUAAUCCUAUUCAAUUAACUUUUCAUAUCAGAUAUUUUGCCUCUAGAAGUUCCAACUGGUUUCUUUAUAUUCCAAUUUCUCUCCUCAUUAUGUUUCUCUUUUACUUUUUAUCCUUGAACAUAUU
rnacentral:lncRNA from 1 species